GCCGUAACACAGGUGCUGCAUGGCUGUCGUCAGCUCGUGUCGUGAGAUGUUGGGUUAAGUCCCGCAACGAGCGCAACCCUUGUCAUUAGUUGCUGCAUUCAGUUGGGCACUCUAAUGAGACUGCCGGUGACAAGCCGGAGGAAGGUGGGGAUGACGUCAAGUCCUCAUGGCCCUUAUAGGUGGGGCUACACACGUCAUACAAUGGCUGGUACAAAGGGUUGCCAACCCGCGAGGGGGAGCUAAUCCCAUAAAGCCAGUCGUAGUCCGGAUCGUAGUCUGCAACUCGACUACGUGAAGUCGGAAUCGCUAGUAAUCGUGGAUCAGAAUGUCACGGUGAAUACGUUCCCGGGUCUU
rnacentral:rRNA from 1 species